GCAAUAGCCGUGAGAAUCUUUAAAAUUCCCCCAUUAAAAUUUCCAGCAACCCGGUAUUUUAAUUUUAGGAGAACAGCCAACCUUUCCUUACUUCGGUCCCCAAGAAGCUUAGAACCGAAAGAAAGAAAUGUCAACCCUAGAUGCCGUUGUACAUGUUAACUGCAUUUUCCUUUCUUAGUCCCCAGGACAGAGUUUGGUUUUGCUUUUAGAAUAAUAUUGCCCUCCUGUGGUCAAACAACAGCAUGUCUGGGAAGUAUCGUCAAAGGUCUGUUUAAAUGUCAUUGGAAUAGGGUUAAUUAUUUCGUGUGCAUAUAGCUCAUUUCCUAAAACAAAAGUCUUUUCUGUGCUUACUUGCUCUUACAGUUUCUUUAUUACAGCUCACCGUUACAGAUUUAGAUCGCUUCCGGUCCAAUUCACUCUUUUAUAUUCUGAUCAGACUGGCCGGCCGGAAGGAUUCAACAAGCUUUACUCUGAAAUGAAUACACGAUUUUAACACUGGCGUCCACGAAGACUCAACAAAAGACACCUUCAUUACUUCGGAAGGCCUCCGGGUCAGCUACCCCAUUACAGCUCCAGGAGGAGAGGACUGCUUUUGAACGACUCGCGCCUGCUGCGUCGCAUCUGGAGGCAGAGACUCUGCGCGGAGCCGAGCGGUGCCGCCGGGAGAGCGCGUGGGACGGGAGCCGCCGUUGCAGGUCUGGUUGUGGCCGGUUCCCCUCACUUUCGGGGUCAGCCGGGAAACCGUCUCACCCCGGCAGAGAGGGAGGCUGUUAAAAGCUUUGAGGCGCUAUCUUCUUAAGCUUCUCCAGCUCCAUUUUGGCCUUUUUCUCCAGCCACUUGUGCAACGUGGCUGAGCUACAGCUGGCGGGCCAGAGCCUGACACGCCGCCGGUUGGUGACACUUCCCUCCCGUUGCCCUGGGCUGCCGGUCUCCGUUCCUGAGGGAAGCGGGAAGGACACGUUCGCUUUUAUUCCCGUCGCUCCUCAUGACUGAACAAGCCAGGCGCCUUCUGAGCACUGUGCAAAGGGAGUUUAGCUAGGUGGUUUAUCUACCUUGGGUUUUGCCUUUAAGACAUGUUUCGCCUAAGCAUUGAAUAAGUCA
rnacentral:lncRNA from 1 species